UACGAAGGGGGCUAGCGUUGCUCGGAAUUACUGGGCGUAAAGCGCACGUAGGCGGCUUUCUAAGUCGGGGGUGAAAUCCUGGAGCUCAACUCCAGAACUGCCUUCGAUACUGGAGAGCUUGGAGUCCGGGAGAGGUGAGUGGAACUGCGAGUGUAGAGGUGAAAUUCGUAGAUAUUCGCAAGAACACCAGUGGCGAAGGCGGCUCACUGGCCCGAUACUGACGCUGAGGCACGGAAAGCGUGGGGAAGCAAACAGGG
rnacentral:rRNA from 1 species